CUGGCUCAGUUAGUGCACCUGAGGUGUGCAAAGAAGGGCACUGGGCAUGCGCAGGAUCCUAAGUACCCUUUAAGGGAGGAACUCAGAAAACUGGACUAAGAGUAAGGCCUUUUUUCAUUGAACAUGUCUCAAAGUUCUGGAAAACUUAGAGCUAGAAUGAUAUUUUUAGAUAUAAAUAAAUAGCUUCAUGGCACCAGCCUUCCUCCUUCUUUGUGCAAAGGCCAUGUCCAGGAAUCCAGCCCACCCCAGUGCAUGUUCACCUUCACCCAGCUACCUCCUACCUCGUAUCGCCACCUGUAAGUGGAUGACAGAGCAUCUGCAUUGCUCAUCUACUUUGCUAUGCACUGCUGCCUUCAGAGGAUCACAAGAAUACUCUGAGCCAGGCUCAAGAACUGGGUAUCCUGCCACCUCAAACUGGCUUUCUGGGGCAAACUAUUUUUCCUUCAUCAAGCCAUGCUGAGGCCAGCUGGCAGGGACACAGGUUCUGAAUGGAGAAAGUUGGAGAACAGAUUGGCAUUGGGAGAAGACCUAUCUUCUUUCAAAGCUUAACCCAAACACACAGAGAGAUGACCAUGAAGACCUGGGUUCUCCUACUCAUCAUGCUCAUCUAUGGGAUUGUGAUGCUUCUGCCUGUGCUGGGGAGCCUCAAGAACAAGAUUUUUUUUCCAGCUGGAAGAAUAGUCACUGAGCAGUGCUGGGUACAGCCUCCAUUAAAGUAUUGUGAGAAGAGGUGCACUAAAUUACAAGAGUGUUUAUCUCCCAAUCAUACAUGCUGUUGGACCUUCUGUGGAAACAUCUGCUUGGACAAUAGAUUUCUAAAAUAAGAAAUGAUAAAUUAUGAAGAAUUCAUUUCAGCAAUGAGAGGAGUAGAAAACAUAAGAGAAGGAAAGUACCUCAGGAGAAACCAGUGCCCAGCCAAGAAGUGGUGCCUGGAGGAGAUGAGGCAGAACCAGAUGGGGCAGUGAGAAUCGAGUCAUGUGUUCUCCCAACUCCACACCCCAAAGCCCUUCACUAACCCCUGCAGGACCUAGUAAAAUCCUGGGUCUCCUGCCAGGUUCACACUCAAACAUCCAGAGUUAACAUCAUGAAGUGGUUGGUUCUCCAGUUGCUGACACUCUACUGCCUGAUGAUCAUGCCAGUGACAGGAAAGAUGAAAGAAAGAGUUGAGGUUGUAACGCAGCGUCCAGUUUACAUUGUACCAAAACCGGAACUAUUACACUGUGCGAAUAUGCCCAACUACCAUGACUGCCAGAGAAAGUGCGAGUUUUACUCGGAUUGUAUUAUUGGCUAUGAAUGCUGCUUGUCCAUCUGUGGAAAAAUCUGCAUGAAAAUCCCAGAACCUGAGACCAGCACUAACAACAAUAACCCCAGCAGCACAGUGGUUUCUACUGUUGUUCCUUUAACCACCAGUGAGAUGUCGAGUAUACCUAAAGGGCAACCAACUAAUUCUACCUGAUGCCCAGUGGUACCAUCGUCUUGUCCCAGCUGGGAGGCAAGGGGAG